AGAGUGAACGCUGGCGGUAGGCCUAACACAUGCAAGUCGAACGGCAGCACAGUGGUAGCAAUACCAUGGGUGGCGAGUGGCGGACGGGUGAGGAAUACAUCGGAAUCUACCUUUUCGUGGGGGAUAACGUAGGGAAACUUACGCUAAUACCGCAUACGCCCUUCGGGGGAAAGCCGGGGAUCGCAAGACCUGGACGCGGAUAGAUGAGCCGAUGGUCGGAUUAGCUAGUUGGUGAGGUAAUGGCUCAACCGAAGGCGACGACUCCGUAGCUGGUCUGAGAGGAUGA
rnacentral:rRNA from 1 species